AUAAAAAGUUGCUUAUGGUAAAAAAAAUAAUAUCAUAAAAGUGAAUAGAGAUUUUUCUAUGUUUUGAUAAUACCGGGGAGGAGCAAAAGCAAAGAAUAAAAAGAAAGCAACAUGUCGAUUGCAUAAUGGCAAACCGCUAUAAAAUCCAAACCUAAGUGAUGCAAUAUGAUUUAGGGUUUAGCUAUGGAUACAGAUCAUACAAAGGAAAUUAGGAUUUGUAUCUCAAAGGCCAAUAAAUAAAGAAAAAAAUAUACUUUCUUGGAGUAAACUAGCAAAAACUAAAAUUAUAUUGGGAAUUAAGUGAGAUAUAAUACAAAUAAUUGCAAGAAAUAAAAUUUAAAAAAAAAUAAUAAUGCACAAAACACUCCAAAAAUUACACAUAGAUCACCCCAUUAAUAGCAUACAUCAUUUUACCAUCAAUGCCGUUUUCAAUAUGAAAACAAUAAUAAAGUUUUACAAUCCUAAUCUCUCAAUCUUAUUACCAUUAUAAUGAUUGAGUUUAAAUAAAGCAUUUCUUCGCCAGGCACUAAUUAUGCUACUUUUCAAUCUGAUUUGAAAAAAAAAGAAAAAAAUCCUGAAAAUCUUAAAUUUCACAUUUAAUUCCAUCACAAAUACACUAAAAUUAGUAGUUAAAAGAGAACUCAUAAGAGUAAACCUCAUACUAUCCAGCAACAAUCCUCGUGUAAUUGCCGGUGUUUCAACAAUAUAUCCAUAACACAAAAUAUGUCGAUGCAUAAAAUGAGAGCAAAACAGAUACAGAGAGAAUUAUCAAAGUAGCAUCAUAAUACUUUUGCUUACACCCUUACCGAAGCCAUACAUCAGAAAUCCUAUAUUAUAACAGGUCAAAAAGAAAUGCAAAUAAGAUGUAAAUGUAAAUGAAAUAGAGACCACUCCCCUGUCCACUAAUGUCGCAGCAGGUAUAUGGAGAAAGUGGAGCAUUUGCACAGAGACAGUUAGUACUCCCCCGCAAGCCGUUGUUCGUGAGGACGAACCAUUAGCUUGGAUCUAAGAGAGAUAAAUUUGUUCUUCGGUAGACCAUUUGUAAGAAUAUCAGCUUGUUAGUCCAGGGAAUUGAGGUAUUUGAGCUGAAUUUGUCCCUCGUCAAUGUGUUAUCGGAUAAACUGAUAGUCUAUCUCGAUAUGUUUGGUUCUGGCAAUGGACAUAGCAGAGAUGUUAUCGCAAUAUAUUGGAGUAGGUGUGGAAGGUUGUAGUCCAAAUUCAACCAAUAGUCUUCGCAACCAUAUGGCAUCUGUGGUUGCCAAAGCAAGGGCUCUAUAUUCUGCCUCUAUGAAAGAGUGGGCCACAGUCGUUUGUUUUAUUAUUGUCCAGGAAAUGGGUGUCACCCAGGCAUGUGCAGAAGCCCGUUGUAGAUUUUCUUGUCAUGGCGUCACUUGCCCAAUCGGCAUCAACAUAGGUGUGAAGUUGAAGGUUCCCUAGGGAUAGGUGUAGGCCAAAAUAUUUAUGUGCCUUUAAGAUAAUUAAGGAGGCGAGUCAACAAGUUGAAGAGGUGAUCGGUCAUGAAGUGCAUAUUUUGACACAAUUGGUUGACCGCAAAUAAAAUAUAUGGCCUUAUUAUUGUAAGAUACCGAAGAGAUUUGCUAAGUUGACGAUAUAAAGUGGGAUUGUGAAAGGGUUUUUACUUGGUGCGGGUGGCCUCGAUUGCUUGAGAUGUAAGGGAGUAUUAACUGAGCUUUAUUUUAUCAUGUCGGCAGUGAAAAGAAUCAAAGAUAUGUAUUGGGAUUGUGAGAGAACUCAAGAGGUGGGAGUUCGGUUGGCCAAUAUACCCAUAAAGCAUGAGGUUGGCCCAAGAUGUUUAAGUUGGAAUUUGGAAAUAAGUUACUCCAUAGGUUGACAAAUGAUCUCUGUUUGAUUACCUGUUAUAAGCAUGUCAUGGACAUAAACCAGCACAUAGAUGGUUGUAGUGCUUCGACGGUAAAGAAGCAAGGACGAAUCGGCUUUACUCAUAGCGAAUCCCCGUUCACUGAAGAAUGUAGAGAGCAGAAGGAACCAUUGUCUCAGGGCCUGUUUGAGGCCAUAGAGAGCUUUCUGAGAAAGGCUGAAAGCUGGGGAGGAAUAAAGCUGGGAGGUUAACUCAUGUCAAUUGUUUUGGAAAGAUUGUCAUGCAGAAAUGCAUUGGAUACAUCAAAUUGAAGUACCUCCCAAUUGUGAUGUAAAGCAAUUGUCAGUAGGAAACAAAUCGUAGCUUUUUAGCCACCGGGCUGAAGGUUUCGUUGUAGUUGAUACUGAACUCUUGAUUAUACCCUUGAUCAACUAGCCUCACCUUGUCACGAACCAUUGUUCCAUCAGAGUGUAAUUUGAUUGUGCAAUUCCAGUCGGAGCAUAGUAUGGUUUUGUCGGUAGGAGUUAGAACAAGCUUCCAAGUGUCUUGCUUCUGAAAUGCAUCAAAUUUCUUUGCCAUAGCAUGGCGCCAAUGGGAGCACUUGGUUGUUUGACUGUAUAGGAUCAAGAGUUGAAACCACCUGAUGAGAGAGAUUGAGUUUAUGAACUGGCUUAAGGUGUCUUGUGAGCGAGCGGGAUGAGGGAGGUACCGGUUGGGACAAGCUGUUAGCUGGUGGAGAAAUGUUGGGAGUAGGUGUUGGUAAGUUGAUUAUUGUAUUGGAUGUUCGAAAUGGAAUGUUUGUAGAUGUUAGAAGUAGUGGAUUAGGAGUGACUGUCGAAAGAGGAGAUAGAGUCUGUAGAAGAAAUGAAGUCUUACCGAGAAACGUUCGUUUAUUAAAUGUAAUAUGGAGAGAAAUGAUAAUUUUCUUGGUGGAUGGGUUGUAACGCUGAUAUCCUGUAUGGGUGGAUGAGUAACCAAUGAAGAUGCACGGUAUGGAGCGAGGUGCUAGCUUAUGAGGUGAUUGAGGCUUGGACCAAAGGGUAUGUGUUGGUAAGGGGAAAUAUGAUCGAUGACAUUCAUGGGCAUUUUGUUGAUGAGGUAGGCGGCGGUAAAAAGAGCAUCAACCCAAAAUGUAAAAGGCAGAUGAGAGCACAAGCAGUCUCAAUAAUGUGUCUAUGUUUAUAUUCUACCAUCCCCAUUUUGUUAUGAGGUAUGUGGUCAGAAAAAUUGAUGAAUCGUUCCAUUUUGUUGGUGAGGUAGGCAUCAUGUAAGGCACAGCUGGUGUAUUCACCCCCACCAUCAGUUCGCAGGAUUUUAACUUUUAUGUUAAAUUGUGUUUGCAGCAUUGUCAUAUGAUGUUGAACUCUUAAGUGUAGCUUAACAUUUUAUAGUCAAAGAAUAUAUCCAACAGAAAUGAGAUUCAUCAUCAACAAAAGAGAUAAUAUUGAUAACCAUAAAUGGUAGUAAUUGGGGAAGUCCCGUACAUCGGAAUGACGUUCUGACUUCUUGUAUUUGUACAGUAAACUAGAACCAAACGGCUUUUUGUGUGACUUUGUAAGUCGGCAUGUAUUACAUAUGGUUAAAGAAGGAAAAAUAUGGAAAUGUUGUGUUUUAUAGAUGGUGUUGACGAUGGCUAGAUGUGGAUGUCCCAAGUGUUUGUGCCAAAGAUCGGAAGUGGCUAAUUUUUGGAGAGUGACGGAAAGAGCUGGAAUGAAGUAAAGUUCAUGGAAGCUAGGGCCUUGGAGUAGAACUCAAUUAGUAUGUGGAUCAGUGAUAGAAAAAUCAGAGGGGUUAAAAGAGACAAUGACUUUGUUAUCUUUCAUUAAUUUAUGGAUUGAAAGGAGGUUAUGAGAUAAGUAAGGUGAGUAGAAGCUUACAGUGUGGAGUGGAAAGGAGGUCGUCACCCGUAUGUUCAACCAUUGCCCAUGACUAUGUACUCGCUUGUAGUGAGUGGUUUCAGCUCCUGAAGUUAGUUGAUGUCGGAAGUCAAAUGUGCAGUAGCACCAGAAUCUAAUACCCAAUCUUGAGCAUGUGUUAUGAGAGCUUGAGGCAACUGAGGUGUUAUGUAAUCAAGAUUUUGUGCUCGAAAGUUGAAACAGAGUGUCCGACUUUAUGACAAAUUUGGCAUGCAUUAGUCGGUCGAGGUGUAGAGUAGCGUCCUCUCCCACCUCCACUUGAGUUGCGGUUGCGGCCCCUAUAGUUGAAGUUGGAUCGGUUCUUCGAAGCAAAUAGUGCAAUGUUUGGAUCAAUUGGAGUGAUGAGUUUAGCAUCUUCUGUAGCGAAGUUUGCCCCGUCGUUGCACAAUAGUGAGUAGAAAUCGUUCAAGUGAAUGGGUUGGAGAUGGUAGUCCAUUUAGGGUAUAUAGGAUAACAUCCUUUGGAUCAAUGUGAGCUCUAGCCGCCAAGGCAUUAUCUACUGUAGUUUUUAUUUCUGAGAGGUUUUGCGCCAUUGUAUUGGAUUUCAUGUUUAUGUGAUGAUGUUUAUUCUUCAACUGAUUACCUUAGAGCGGUUUGUAGGUUGGAGGCAUCAUUCGAGAGUAUGUCAUAUCUCAGUCAUUGUGCGGAGUUGGAGGGUAGGAUCAACGCUGAAAUUGUGGACAACAGGGCUAUGGAGAGAUUUUGAUCGUUGUAUGUCCAUGUUGUGAACUGGGAUUUGGGGCAUUAGGAUUGUUCGGUUAAGCAAUGGAUUGCAGUGGACACGGAUGACAGCCAUCCAGAAAGCCAAGGAAUUUGUUAGUAGUGAUAAUCCACAAUAUCUGGGCACGCAAUAUGGGAUAGUUGUCGGAUGUUAGUUGGUUUUGAGCUAGAAGCUUGAUGUGGGAGAGUAGAAAUGUCGAGGGUGAUCCAUUGAUGGCUAGACGUGGGGAAGAGAAUGGAUUGGAGGUCACCAAGUCUUCCAUGAAUUGAACUCACAGGGGGGCAAAUCAAAUGUACCUUGCGCAAAUGGGGUCGAAGAACCCUAGUGAACUGUAGUAGAGGCCACAUAGGAGGAUAUGGUUAAGGAGUGAGAGGCUUCCCUGGUAUUUGUGGCGAGAUCGUCCCUUUGUAGGCCAGACGCCUGCUCUAAUACCAUUAGAACAAAACAGAUGCAGAUAGAAUUAUCAAAGUAACAUUAUAAAACUUUUGCUUACACCCUUACUGAAACCAUACAUCUGAAAUCCUAUAUUUUAACAGGUAAAAAUGAAAUGUUAA